UUGCAUUUAUUUGACAGACCUGCAGCAGUUGCAUAUCUGUAGCUUUGGUUUCUACUACAGGUGAAGAAAAAAAAAGUUCUCACACUUUCUACCUGUCUGAUAUGGCAGUCCAGAUUCCAUGGGGGAAUACAGGA